GCAAAAACAGGAAAGGGCAGACGGUGGAUGCCUAGGCUCUCGGAGGCGACGAAGGACGUGAUAAGCUGCGAUAAGCUACGGGGAUUGGCACAUACAAAUUGAUCCGUAGAUUUCCGAAUGGGGCAACCCGGCAUGUUGAAGACAUGUCACACUGCAGAGCAGUGAGCGAACGUGGGGAACUGAAACAUCUAAGUACCCAUAGGAGAAGAAAACAAAAGUGAUUCCCUUAGUAGUGGCGAGCGAACGGGGACUAGCCCAAACCUGCAUUGUUUCGGCAACGCAGGGGUUGUAGGACUCC
rnacentral:ncRNA from 1 species